rnacentral:lncRNA from 1 species
UUAAUCCAAUACCAAAUUUUUUAAACAACAUUUAUUUAGUUACUAUUCAGGCAGAUGAACAAAUAAAAAUGAAAUACAUGAUGCAGCUUUCAAAAUAAACAUUUUAUCUAUUUAAACAGAAACUGUAUCUACAAGGGUUAAAUCUCAAAUUAUUCAGAAUAAGAUUCACACUGUUUGAUUAAUUGCUUUCCACAGCAAUGAAACGUCCCGAUUAUCCACGGGCAGUGUGCCUGCUCGCUGUUUGCGUUAUGACCCACUUCUACCUCCAAUUUCGAAAUACUUAGGCAAUGUAGGGCAGCAGUUAUGCAGCUCUAAAGCACUCAGCCAGCCAAACAAUGACACACAGUAACGCAGCGUCGUCGCAGAGUAUUUUAUCAAGGCAAUGAUUUGUUCCAGCAGGUACUGAGCCUGCAGGGACCAAAACAGAUGGAGAUUCGCGGAGAGCGGCGACAGUUUCUGUGGAGUUAGCAGCGCAUUGUUUGGCAGAGUGAAGCAAUGCAAGGGUCGAGGAAACACCCCACAAAACCAGGACAAAAAAAGAACCUGAAGAGCUGAUCCAGGUGUUCCACAGCUGGCUGGGCUCUGUUUCUGUGCCACCAAUCCCAGCAGUAUGUGAGAAAACAAGCCGUUUUCCGAGGUUUCCAGGAGCUCCUCUGAGUCUCCACCAGUCCCCCAUCCUCUCCCUUUCCCAACCUCUACCUGCUCCACUCCUCAUCCACCCACUGCUAAUAAAGCCCUGCUAGUUUUCACCCUGUGGCUCCAGGCUCAGUUUACUGGUCCAACCCUGUAGUUCAAGUAAACCUUUGGUCUGACUCCAGAUUUCAAAUUGUGGUGUAUAUCC